rnacentral:rRNA from 1 species
UACGUAGGGUGCGAGCGUUAAUCGGAAUUACUGGGCGUAAAGCGUGCGCAGGCGGUUAUGUAAGACAGUUGUGAAAUCCCCGGGCUCAACCUGGGAAUUGCAUCUGUGACUGCAUAGCUAGAGUACGGUAGAGGGGGAUGGAAUUCCGCGUGUAGGCAGUGAAAUGCGUAGAUAUGACGGAGGAACACCGAUGGCGAAGGCAAUCCCCUGGACCUGUACUGACGCUCAUGCACGAAAGCGUGGGGAGCAAACAGG